GGGGUAACCCCCGGCUGGGGACAGCGGCGAACGGGUGCGUAACACGUGGGCAACCUGCCCCUGACACUGGGAUAACCCCGGGAAACCGGAGCUAAUACCGGAUACUCUCGGCCGAUCACAUGGCUGGCCGAGGAAAGGUCCGCCGGUCAGGGAUGGGCCCGCGGCCUAUCAGCUUGUUGGUGAGGUAACGGCCCACCAAGGCGACGACGGGUAGCUGGUCUGAGAGGACGGUCGGACACACUGGAACUGAGACACGGUCCAGACUCCUACGGGAGGCAGCAGUGGGGAAUUUUUCGCAAUGGGGGCAACCCUGACGAAGCAACGCCGCGUGGAUGAUGAAGUAUCUCGGU
rnacentral:rRNA from 1 species